AUUGAACGCUGGCGGCAGGCUUAACACAUGCAAGUCGAGCGGGGUGAUGGUGCUUGCACUAUCACUUAGCGGCGGACGGGUGAGUAAUGCUUAGGAAUCUGCCUAUUAGUGGGGGACAACAUCUCGAAAGGGAUGCUAAUACCGCAUACGUCCUACGGGAGAAAGCAGGGGAUCACUUGUGACCUUGCGCUAAUAGAUGAGCCUAAGUCGGAUUAGCUAGUUGGUGGGGUAAAGGCCUACCAAGGCGACGAUCUGUAGCGGGUCUGAGAGGAUGAUCCGCCGCAAUGGGACUGGGACACGGCCCAGACUCCUACGGGAGGCAGCAGUGGGGAAUAUUGGACAAUGGGGGGAACCCUGAUCCAGCCAUGCCGCGUGUGUGAAGAAGGCCUUAUGGUUGUAAAGCACUUUAAGCGAGGAGGAGGCUUACCUAGUUAAUACCUGGGAUAAGUGGACGUUACUCGCAGAAUAAGCACCGGCUAACUCUGUGCCAGCAGCCGCGGUAA
rnacentral:rRNA from 1 species